rnacentral:rRNA from 1 species
UACGUAGGUGGCGAGCGUUGUCCGGAUUUACUGGGCGUAAAGAGCGCGCAGGCGGUCGUACAAGUCGCGUGUGAAAGCCCCCGGCUCAACUGGGGAGGGUCACGCGAUACUGUUCGACUCGAAGGCAGGAGAGGGAAGUGGAAUUCCCGGUGUAGUGGUGAAAUGCGUAGAUAUCGGGAGGAACACCAGUGGCGAAGGCGACUUCCUGGCCUGUUCUUGACGCUGAGACGCGAAAGCUAGGGUAGCAAACGGG